UACAGAGGGUGCGAGCGUUAAUCGGAAUUACUGGGCGUAAAGCGCGCGUAGGCGGCUUUGCAAGUCGGGUGUGAAAUCCCCAGGCUUAACCUGGGAACUGCAUUCGAGACUGCAUUGCUAGAGUAUGGGAGAGGGAAGUGGAAUUUCCGGUGGAGCGGUGAAAUGCGCAGAGAUCGGAAAGAACACCAACGGCGAAAGCACUCUGCUGGGCCGACACUGACACUGAGAGACGAAAGCUAGGGGAGCGAAUGGG
rnacentral:rRNA from 1 species